rnacentral:rRNA from 1 species
UACGUAGGGGGCUAGCGUUGUCCGGAAUCAUUGGGCGUAAAGCGCGUGUAGGCGGCCCGGUAAGUCCGCUGUGAAAGUCCAGGGCUCAACCCUGGGACGCCGGUGGAUACUGUCGGGCUCGAGUCCGGAAGAGGCGAGUGGAAUUCCUGGUGUAGCGGUGAAAUGCGCAGAUAUCAGGAGGAACACCAAUGGCGAAGGCAGCUCGCUGGGACGUGACUGACGCUGAGACGCGAAAGCGUGGGGAGCAAACAGG